rnacentral:lncRNA from 1 species
CAUAUACAAGAAUCUGGAAAGUGGAAACGGGGCAGAAGCUGGGAAAUUCGAGAAAAAGAGGGAGAAAAAGAGAAAAAAGAAAGGAAAUGGAAGAGGCUGAUGAUUUUUGUAAGUUUGGGUUCUUCAUUUCUUCAGCUUGUCCUUAUUUUAAAGAGGUAAGUUAAAUAAAUUUCUAGGGUUUAUGAACCAUUCAUUUAAAUUCGAAGUUUAGCAAUAAUUAGAGAUUAUUAUUAUGUUUUUGAGGUAUUAAACAAGAAUAUAUCAAAGGAAUAUAUAUUUGAAAAUUUGUGAUGAAGAAAAUGGAAUUUUGAAGGGGUUUGUGAGGUAAGUGCUUACUCUUUGAUUUUCUUGUGAUUAUAUAAUACUGAACACUUAAAUUAGGGAUUUGAGAUUGGAAUUUUCCAUUUUUUUAAGGUAAUUUUUGGGUUACUGCAGUAUAGGUGUUGUUUCUGAAAGUGUGCCCAGAAUGGUGCCACUUCUGUCAAUAGUUUUGGUGGCAGAUUUCAAUAUCUAGAAAUUGGAGUCAGAUUUCAAUAUUCUGGAAUUUUAGUGAUGUCUUUGUCAAACCUUUGAUUUUCACAUUUUAAAGGCUUGAAUGAAGUUUUAUGACAAGUAUUGAGGUUUAUGUAUGGGAAUAAAUUAUGCAUAGGGGUUGUAUAUGUAUAAGUUAUUGAUUUUAAGGAAGUGUGAGUAAUUUAAUGGAUUUAAUAAUGCAUGGUGUUUAGUUGAUGAAUCAAUAAAGAAAAUAAAAGUUGGGGAAUUGGAGAUGUAAAAGUAAAUAUAGAAGUUGAGGAGUUAAGUGGUGAAAUUGUAUUAAUUUAAUUGUCAAGUUUUAAUUUGAGUAACUAUACGGUUAUUUCAAGUAGUGACGUGAAAGUUUAGAAAGACUCGUCAAUUUAAGCAGAUUUUUAUCCAUAGAUCUGUGAGUGGAAAAACUUAAAUAUUUUAAAAGUGUUUAUAAAUUAAGUAUAUGUGCAAUUAUAUGUUUGAUUUUAUAAUUAUUAUAGAAGUUUCUUUUAUUAUGAUCCAUGCAGAAUUUCGAGAAUUAUUUAUUAUAUAUUUGUGACUUGGUAUAUGAGAUAUGUGAUAUUAAGAUUUGUUUGGUAUGUGAGACGUGAUAUUGAGAUCGAUCAGAAAAGUACCUGUGAUUAUGUAUUUCUUCUACUUCACAGAGGGGCCUUGAUCGUGUUCUAUCCUACACGGAGGGUCUUGACCUGACAUUGGUCUUGAUCGUAUCAUAUAGUUCACAGAGGGGUUUUGGCCAUGUUUUAGAAUUGAUUAUGAGAGGUCUUUGAGAUCGACUUUCGUUCACGGAGGGGGUCAAAAGCCGGUGGCGAAAGUUUUUAACCCGAGGGACGGAUUAUAUAUUUUAGUCAGAGGGUACAUUUCUGGUGGAUUUUUCAGUACAUUUGAUGUGAUGAGAUUGUGGCAUAAUUACUAGUUUAUGAUCAUAUCAUGAUUUUGAGAUGAUAUUUUUCGACCUCAUAUGAAUAUUUCACUUUUGGUUAUAAUUACUUGAUGUUAUCUUAUGAAUUAUUAUAUGAUAUAAAUUCGAUUUUCG